ACUCAGUGAGUCUUGGAAGGACUUUGGCCUGCCAGGCAAAAUCUCAUCAAGGGCUAUCAGGAAGACAGUGGUGACAGCAGCACGAGAUGAAUUAUCAAAUGAGGAGCGGCAAAGAAUCGCUAGUUUCAUGUGCCAUUCUAUAGAAACUGCUGAUCACUACUAUGCUGCGAGGUAUAAGAC